AACUAACUGAAAGGAUGAAGCAUUUAUGUUUCAAUCACGAAGACACCUGAUUGGUUACAAAAUGAAAGAUGCAUGUCCAAUGUUUCAUUGUUUGCUCCAUUACACAAAAUACCCAAUUGACAAGACACCAUAUAGGUUUACAAAAUGAUAAAAUACACAAUGAUUUUGCUCCAUUACACAAAAUGCCUAGCUGACACAAACUGCCAUCUUCAUGCUUACUUCCUGUUCCUCUUGUAUGUCAUUCCUACAAAGGAUAAAAGGGUGACCGGUGAAUUCACGCCUUCAUGGAGAUAAUGGAAAAAUGAUAAUUGUAUAAAGCGCCAAUGGCAAAAACAAACUGGGAUUUAGUAUUAUAAAUACAGGGCAUGUUCUAAUUAGAAUCUGUGAUGGGUUAGACAUAAUAAAGCAUGAAUGCCACACCGACCCACCAUAUAGCCUGUAUGAAUCUCCUCAAUCCGCAGACCAUGAAGUAUAUUAAAUGGAAAAGGAGCAUAUGCAUCAUCUGGCCACAAGGCAACAAUUUAGCAUGUCCAGACACCCAAUUAUUGGGAGCAACACAUCCACCAAGGGACACAUGAAAGUCAUUUUUGAAGAAAAGACUGCACUAGUUCUCUUUCUUUUUCUUCUCUGGGGUGGAAAGACCGCACUUUGCUGCACUAGACAGCAAUACAUUAGGCAAAAAUGAUUACUAUCUAAUACACAACUAGAAGUUUCAAUGAUGAGUGCAGCAUGGCCUGGGAAAAGCAUUCUCAAAAUCCCACAUACAUCAGGAGGUUAUACACACUUUCCCUACGUUAGAAAUGAAUUUCAAUGAGAAGAAUCUAUCCGAAAUCAUUUCUAAAUGCGGUACUAAGCACAUGAGGACAUGCAAAAUACCAAACAAAAAGUCAAAAAGUAUCUGAACUUAAACUGCAUCUGACUAUUAUAUUCAUAAAAGCAUCAGAGAAAAGCAUCUAUACUUUAGUGCCACAAAUUAGAUUAAAUUGAUGACCGUCCUCUGAUCUCACUACACUAAGUUGUCACAAUUGCGGGACAGAUGUGGGCAAAUUAACAAUGACCUUUUUAGAACUAACUUGCUUAUGCCAUAUGCAUGGUAGGAUCACCAUUAAGCACCUGACUUGCUACUGCUCAGGAUUCAGAAACUGAGAAGAUUUCUCCUAUACAGUAGAAAAAUACUGUUAGGUCGAGGAGGUAUGCACAUAAAUUAAUUUUCAAAUAGAUAUCAGCGCUUUAAAUGGAAUAUCAUGAAGCUUUCCUUCCCCAUUAAAAAAACUGGGUGAAAUUUAUCUAAAGAAUGUUCACUUAUGAUAACCAAGAGAAACUAGUAUAUGUGCAUACAAGUGUUUUAGAAGCAACAAAUGGAAUAUAAUAAAUUAAAGCCCUUAGCUACAACGCUGGUCCUUUGCUUUAAAAAAACUCGCAAGCAUUUCAUAUGUGAGUGGAGUCCUUCUUUUGUUCAGUCAAUCACAUGCUGCUAGAAAUAAUAGAAGACCUUAGCUAGCUUCAUGCCAUAUCUUAAAAUGCAUCUAAGCUACACCAAUAUGAGUUGCUCUGCAACGUACAGAUAAACAGUAAGAGAUGUAUUCAAAAAUAAGUAACAAAUUUCCUCAUGGAUACAAUGGCCUUAUAAACCAGAACAGUCUACAGUUGUUAAACCAUUCUCAUUGCAAAAUUGCCAAAAACUAAUAAGAAAAAUGCAACUGUAACAUCUAUAGAAAAAGACUGACAAUAAAUUAGAACCAACUUUUCAUAUUUAGUCCAUUUUCGAAAACUACUGAAGAAAAAUAACAAAAAUACUACAGCUGGAAAUCUAUACAAGCGAAAAGGUAAAAUUAGAAAACCAAUUAAUACAUAUUAACUCUUCAUUCCAGAAGUGAACUAUUCUAGACGUUUUACAGAACUAGUGAAGAAAAUUCACAGAAAAUACUACUGUAAACUCUGUAGAAGCAUGACUGUAAAUUACAAUUGCAAACAUACGUAUUUAAUCUU
rnacentral:lncRNA from 1 species